rnacentral:Y_RNA from 1 species
GGCUGGUCUGAAGGUAGUGCGUUAUCUCAAUCAGUUGUUCAUAGUCAGUUACAGACCAAACUGAUUGUUCUGUUCUUUCCUCCCUUCUCACUCCUGCACUUCACUAGUCUCAA